rnacentral:rRNA from 1 species
UACGAAGGGGGCUAGCGUUGCUCGGAAUCACUGGGCGUAAAGGGCGCGUAGGCGGCCGAUCAAGUCAGGGGUGAAAGCCUGUGGCUCAACCACAGAAUUGCCUUUGAUACUGUUCGGCUCGAGACCGGAAGAGGUAAGUGGAACUGCGAGUGUAGAGGUGAAAUUCAUAGAUAUUCGCAAGAACACCAGUGGCGAAGGCGGCUUACUGGUCCGGUUCUGACGCUGAGGCGCGAAAGCGUGGGGAGCAAACAGG